rnacentral:rRNA from 1 species
AACGCGAAGAACCUUACCUACCCUUGACAUGGUCGGAACCUGGCUGAAAGGCUGGGGUGCUCGAAAGAGAACCGGCGCACAGGUGCUGCAUGGCUGUCGUCAGCUCGUGUCGUGAGAUGUUGGGUUAAGUCCCGCAACGAGCGCAACCCUUGUCCUUAGUUGCUACGCAAGAGCACUCUAGGGAGACUGCCGGUGACAAACCGGAGGAAGGUGGGGAUGACGUCAAGUCCUCAUGGCCCUUAUGGGUAGGGCUUCACACGUCAUACAAUGGUCGGAACAGAGGGUUGCCAAGCCGCGAGGUGGAGCCAAUCCCAGAAAGCUGAUCGUAGUCCGGAUCGCAGUCUGCAACUCGACUGCGUGAAGCUGGAAUCGCUAGUAAUCACGAUCAGCAUGC